AGCGAACAGGAUUAGAUACCCUGGUAGUCCACGCCGUAAACGAUGAGUGCUAAGUGUUAGAGGGUUUCCGCCCUUUAGUGUUGCAGCAAACGCAUUAAGCACUCCGCUUGGGGAGUACGGUCGCAAGAUUGAAACUCAAAGGAAUUGACGGGGGCCCGCACAAGCGGUGGAGCAUGUGGUUUAAUUCGAAGCAACGCGAAGAACCUUACCAGGUCUUGACAUCCUCUGACAACCCUAGAGAUAGGGCUUCCCCUUCGGGGGCAGAGUGACAGGUGGUGCAUGGUUGUCGUCAGCUCGUGUCGUGAGAUGUUGGGUUAAGUCCCGCAACGAGCGCAACCCUUGAUCUUAGUUGCCAGCAUUCAGUUGGGCACUCUAAGGUGACUGCCGGUGACAAACCGGAGGAAGGUGGGGAUGACGUCAAAUCAUCAUGCCCCUUAUGACCUGGGCUACACACGUGCUACAAUGGGCAGAACAAAGGGCAGCGAAGCCGCGAGGUUAAGCCAAUCCCACAAAUCUGUUCU
rnacentral:rRNA from 1 species